UUCGGAAUGACGAGAUCUGCGACUGAGCGGCGGACGGGUGAGUAACGCGUGGGUAACCUGCCCUGUACAGGGGGAUAACAGUUAGAAAUGACUGCUAAUACCGCAUAAGCCCACAGCUUCGCAUGAAGCGGUGGGAAAAACUCCGGUGGUACAGGAUGGGCCCGCGUCUGAUUAGCUAGUUGGUGAGGUAAGAGCUCACCAAGGCGACGAUCAGUAGCCGACCUGAGAGGGUGACCGGCCACAUUGGGACUGAGACACGGCCCAAACUCC
rnacentral:rRNA from 1 species